rnacentral:snRNA from 1 species
GUCUCUUCCAGGACAUACGCUAAAAUUAGAACAAUACUGAGAAGAUUAAUAUGGCUCCUGCACAAGGAUAACACACAAAUCAAGAAAUGGUCCAAAAAAGU